ensembl:lncRNA
GUUGUGGUGUUAAUGUGCUACACUGUGUGACCUACAGCUAGUCUUGUCCUGCCAUGUUUUCUUUGGCUUCAAAUGCAGUUUUGUGUUUUCAGUUUGUUUUCUUGUCUGCUUGCUCUCAACCUCUUGUUUUACCAGACUUCUGUUUCCUAGUUCCUGCCCUGAUAUUACCAGAAUACCCGAAUGGUCGGACCAAAAGAUGGAUUCAGCAGGAGCAGACCAAGUCAGGACCACUGUGACACAACAGGGCAUUCUCCUUGGCCAGCAUUCCUCACAGUUAACGGCCACCUCCAGGGAAGUUGACCUACUGACAGCCCAGGUAGCUGAACUCAAUGUCCGGAUGCAGGAACUCCAGCAGCAGGCCCUGGCCAGCCAAUCUGCUUCCUCGGUUAUCCGUUCUCCACCUUGGGCUGAGCCAGAGCC